GGGUUGUGAGGUUAAGCGACUAAGCGUACACGGUGGAUGCCCUGGCAGUCAGAGGCGAUGAAGGACGUGCUAAUCUGCGAUAAGCGUCGGUGAGGUGAUAUGAACCGUUAUAACCGGCGAUUUCCGAAUGGGGAAACCCAGUGUGUUUCGACACACUAUCAUUAACUGAAUCCAUAGGUUAAUGAGGCGAACCGGGGGAACUGAAACAUCUAAGUACCCCGAGGAAAAGAAAUCAACCGAGAUUCCCCCAGUAGCGGCGAGCGAACGGGGAGGAGCCCAGAGCCUGAAUCAGUGUGUGUGUUAGUGGAAGCGUCUGGAAAGGCGCGCGAUACAGGGUGACAGCCCCGUACACAAAAAUGCACAUAUUGUGAGCUCGAUGAGUAGGGCGGGACACGUGGUAUCCUGUCUGAAUAUGGGGGGACCAUCCUCCAAGGCUAAAUACUCCUGACUGACCGAUAGUGAACCAGUACCGUGAGGGAAAGGCGAAAAGAACCCCGGCGAGGGGAGUGAAAAAGAACCUGAAACCGUGUACGUACAAGCAGUGGGAGCCUCUUAAUGGGGUGACUGCGUACCUUUUGUAUAAUGGGUCAGCGACUUAUAUUCUGUAGCAAGGUUAACCGAAUAGGGGAGCCGAAGGGAAACCGAGUCUUAACUGGGCGUUAAGUUGCAGGGUAUAGACCCGAAACCCGGUGAUCUAGCCAUGGGCAGGUUGAAGGUUGGGUAACACUAACUGGAGGACCGAACCGACUAAUGUUGAAAAAUUAGCGGAUGACUUGUGGCUGGGGGUGAAAGGCCAAUCAAACCGGGAGAUAGCUGGUUCUCCCCGAAAGCUAUUUAGGUAGCGCCUCGUGAAUUCAUCUCCGGGGGUAGAGCACUGUUUCGGCAAGGGGGUCAUCCCGACUUACCAACCCGAUGCAAACUGCGAAUACCGGAGAAUGUUAUCACGGGAGACACACGGCGGGUGCUAACGUCCGUCGUGAAGAGGGAAACAACCCAGACCGCCAGCUAAGGUCCCAAAGUCAUGGUUAAGUGGGAAACGAUGUGGGAAGGCCCAGACAGCCAGGAUGUUGGCUUAGAAGCAGCCAUCAUUUAAAGAAAGCGUAAUAGCUCACUGGUCGAGUCGGCCUGCGCGGAAGAUGUAACGGGGCUAAACCAUGCACCGAAGCUGCGGCAGCGACACUAUGUGUUGUUGGGUAGGGGAGCGUUCUGUAAGCCUGUGAAGGUGUACUGUGAGGUAUGCUGGAGGUAUCAGAAGUGCGAAUGCUGACAUAAGUAACGAUAAAGCGGGUGAAAAGCCCGCUCGCCGGAAGACCAAGGGUUCCUGUCCAACGUUAAUCGGGGCAGGGUGAGUCGACCCCUAAGGCGAGGCCGAAAGGCGUAGUCGAUGGGAAACAGGUUAAUAUUCCUGUACUUGGUGUUACUGCGAAGGGGGGACGGAGAAGGCUAUGUUGGCCGGGCGACGGUUGUCCCGGUUUAAGCGUGUAGGCUGGUUUUCCAGGCAAAUCCGGAAAAUCAAGGCUGAGGCGUGAUGACGAGGCACUACGGUGCUGAAGCGACAAAUGCCCUGCUUCCAGGAAAAGCCUCUAAGCAUCAGGUAACAUCAAAUCGUACCCCAAACCGACACAGGUGGUCAGGUAGAGAAUACCAAGGCGCUUGAGAGAACUCGGGUGAAGGAACUAGGCAAAAUGGUGCCGUAACUUCGGGAGAAGGCACGCUGAUAUGUAGGUGAAGCGACUUGCUCGUGGAGCUGAAAUCAGUCGAAGAUACCAGCUGGCUGCAACUGUUUAUUAAAAACACAGCACUGUGCAAACACGAAAGUGGACGUAUACGGUGUGACGCCUGCCCGGUGCCGGAAGGUUAAUUGAUGGGGUUAGCGGUAACGCGAAGCUCUUGAUCGAAGCCCCGGUAAACGGCGGCCGUAACUAUAACGGUCCUAAGGUAGCGAAAUUCCUUGUCGGGUAAGUUCCGACCUGCACGAAUGGCGUAAUGAUGGCCAGGCUGUCUCCACCCGAGACUCAGUGAAAUUGAACUCGCUGUGAAGAUGCAGUGUACCCGCGGCAAGACGGAAAGACCCCGUGAACCUUUACUAUAGCUUGACACUGAACAUUGAGCCUUGAUGUGUAGGAUAGGUGGGAGGCUUUGAAGUGUGGACGCCAGUCUGCAUGGAGCCGACCUUGAAAUACCACCCUUUAAUGUUUGAUGUUCUAACGUGGGCCCCUUACCGGGGUUGCGGACAGUGUCUGGUGGGUAGUUUGACUGGGGCGGUCUCCUCCUAAAGAGUAACGGAGGAGCACGAAGGUUGGCUAAUCCUGGUCGGACAUCAGGAGGUUAGUGCAAUGGCAUAAGCCAGCUUGACUGCGAGCGUGACGGCGCGAGCAGGUGCGAAAGCAGGUCAUAGUGAUCCGGUGGUUCUGAAUGGAAGGGCCAUCGCUCAACGGAUAAAAGGUACUCCGGGGAUAACAGGCUGAUACCGCCCAAGAGUUCAUAUCGACGGCGGUGUUUGGCACCUCGAUGUCGGCUCAUCACAUCCUGGGGCUGAAGUAGGUCCCAAGGGUAUGGCUGUUCGCCAUUUAAAGUGGUACGCGAGCUGGGUUUAGAACGUCGUGAGACAGUUCGGUCCCUAUCUGCCGUGGGCGCUGGAGAACUGAGGGGGGCUGCUCCUAGUACGAGAGGACCGGAGUGGACGCAUCACUGGUGUUCGGGUUGUCAUGCCAAUGGCACUGCCCGGUAGCUAAAUGCGGAAGAGAUAAGUGCUGAAAGCAUCUAAGCACGAAACUUGCCCCGAGAUGAGUUCUCCCUGACUCCUUGGGAGUCCUGAAGGAACGUUGAAGACGACGACGUUGAUAGGCCGGGUGUGUAAGCGCAGCGAUGCGUUGAGCUAACCGGUACUAAUGAACCGUGAGGCUUAACCUUACAACGCCGAAG
rnacentral:rRNA from 1 species